GUCUUCCCCCGUUUAUAUCAGCCCAGAGGACAAUCCAUUCUCUUUCCUUUGGAGGACACAAUAAAGGCUAACUCUUGGAAGUCCCAGGGGGAGAAGAGGUAAAUGGAGAGGGAGAAUCAUAAGCAGGUGCCACGCCCAGCACGAGGCCAGAUCCCGUGACCCAAAGACCAUGACCUGAGCCAAAAUCAAGAGUCAGAGACUUAACCGACUGAGGCACCCAGGGUAGAAUGCCAAGAGGAAAAGGCCAGGAGGAAGACUGCCUAGAGACCUAGGCACAUGGAACUGUCCUUACGCACCAUAUUCUGGUUCCCACUGGAUGUGGCUUUGGCAAGAUAAUGAGAGAGAGAGAGUGGGUGCCCGAGUUGGGGAGAGGGGCAAA